rnacentral:rRNA from 1 species
UACGUAGGGUGCUAGCGUUGUCCGGAAUUACUGGGCGUAAAGGGCUCGUAGGUGGCCAACUAAGUCAGACGUGAAAUCCCUCAGCUUAACUGGGGAACUGCGUCUGAUACUGGAUGGCUUGAGUUUGGGAGAGGGAUGCGGAAUUCCAGGUGUAGCGGUGAAAUGCGUAGAUAUCUGGAGGAACACCGGUGGCGAAGGCGGCAUCCUGGACCAACACUGACACUGAGGAGCGAAAGCCAGGGGAGCAAACGGG